GAUGAACGCUAGCGGCAGGCCUAACACAUGCAAGUCGAGGGGUAGAAGUUGCUUGCAACUUUGAGACCGGCGCACGGGUGCGUAACGCGUAUGCAAUCUGCCUUGUACUGAGGGAUAGCCCAGAGAAAUUUGGAUUAAUACCUCAUAGCAUUAUGAUGUGGCAUCACAUUAUAAUUAAAGUUCCAACGGUACAAGAUGAGCAUGCGUCCCAUUAGUUAGCUGGUAAGGUAACGGCUUACCAAGACGAUGAUGGGUAGGGGUCCUGAGAGGGAGAUCCCCCACACUGGUACUGGGACACGGACCAGACUCCUACGGGAGGCAGCAGUGAGGAAUAUUGGUCAAUGGGCGCAAGCCUGAACCAGCCAUGCCGCGUGCAGGAUGACGCAUCUAUGGUGUGUAAACUGCUUUUGUACAGGAAGAAACACUCCCUCGUGAGGGAGCUUGACGGUACUGUAAGAAUAAGGAUCGGCUAACUCCGUGCCAGCCGCCGCCGUAA
rnacentral:rRNA from 1 species